rnacentral:rRNA from 1 species
AUGAACGCUGGCGGCGUGCCUAAUACAUGCAAGUCGAGCGAACGGACGAGAAGCUUGCUUCUCUGAUGUUAGCGGCGGACGGGUGAGUAACACGUGGAUGACCUACCUAUAAGACUGGGAUAACUUCGGGAAACCGGAGCUAAUACCGGAUAAUAUUUUGAACCGCAUGGUUCAAAAGUGAAAGACGGUCUUGCUGUCACUUAUAGAUGGAUCCGCGCUGCAUUAGCUAGUUGGUAAGGUAACGGCUUACCAAGGCAACGAUGCAUAGCCGACCUGAGAGGGUGAUCGGCCACACUGGAACUGAGACACGGUCCAGACUCCUACGGGAGGCAGCAGUAGGGAAUCUUCCGCAAUGGGCGAAAGCCUGACGGAGCAACGCCGCGUGAGUGAUGAAGGUCUUCGGAUCGUAAAACUCUGUUAUUAGGGAAGAACAUAUGUGUAAGUAACUGUGCACAUCUUGACGGUACCUAAUCAGAAAGCCACGGCUAACUACGUG